GACGAACGCUGGCGGCGUGCUUAACACAUGCAAGUCGAACGGAAAGGCCCUGCUUUUGUGGGGUGCUCGAGGGGCGAACGGGUGAGUAACACGUGAGUAACCUGCCCUUGACUUUGGGAUAACUUCAGGAAACUGGGGCUAAUACCGGAUAGGAGCUCCUGCUGCAUGGUGGGGGUUGGAAAGUUUCGGCGGUUGGUGAUGGACUCGCGGCUUAUCAGCUUGUUGGUGGGGUAGUGGCUGACCAAGGCUUUGACGGGUAGCCGGCCUGGGAGGGUGACCGGCCAAAUUGGGACUGAGAUACGGCCCAGCCUCCUACGGGAGGCAGCAGUGGGGAAUAGUGCACAAUGGGCGGAAGCCUGAUGCAGCAACGCCGCGUGCGGGAUGACGGCCUUCGGGUUGUAAACCGCUUUCGCCUGUGACGAAGCGUGAGUGACGGUAAUGGGUAAAGAAGCACCGGCUAACUACGUG
rnacentral:rRNA from 1 species